CGUUCCCGGGCCUUGUACACACCGCCCGUCACACCAUGGGAGUCGGUAAGACCCGAAGAGCUUUCGCCAACCGCAAGGGGGUAGAGUUCUAAGGUAGGCCCGAUGACUGGGGUG
rnacentral:rRNA from 1 species